rnacentral:sRNA from 1 species
UUUUUGUUUUAGAUCCACCUAGACUUUCUGGUAAACCAAGAUAGGAGCCCAUACCACCAAGAUUAGUGAUUCCCAAUGUUGAUUUUAUUUCUGCCUUAAGUGA